UUGAACCCAUGGUUCAUACAUUUCAUUACAAUUAUCACUACUAAUAAACAUUUCAAUGUUUUAAUAUUAUCAAUUAUUUAUAUAUAUAAAUAUCAUUCUUAUUUCUUUAUUUCAAAUUUCACUUUUCACAUAUACUAUAUCAUUCGAGAUUAGUUUUAUCAGUAAUUUAUUUCAUUUGCCUCUAUUAACUUGACUCGGACUCUGACAGAUACGCGGAUUCCACCCAAACACACCAGAAUAUCCAACCAAAACACACCUGAAAUAAAUAUAAACCCUCCAUAACACACCGAUAUAUCAUAUCCUCCCAAACACACCAAUAAUGCAUUAAAUGCCUCUUCGGAUAAACCGAAGCAUAUAAUAACAUAAUCAUCUUCUCGG
rnacentral:lncRNA from 1 species